GCUGCCUCUCUCUCGUACUGCUGCCUCUCUCUCGUACUGCUGCCUCUCUCUCGUACUGCUGCCUCUCUCUCGUACUGCUGCCUCUCUCUCGUACUUCCGCCUCUCUCUCUCUCUCUCUCUCGUACUGCUGCCUCUCUCUGUUCCUUCUCUGCUGCUUGCACACUGGAAGAGUAGUUCAGUUUCAUGAUAUCCGGUUGUGGCAGUUUGACUGAAUAUUGUGAGAAUAUUACUAGCCCAGGUUGAGUCCAUCAGCCCUCCACAGUGGAAACCCUACGGCCUUCAUUAUUAACCCUUCCACCCCCCUCCUCUUUGGAUGACAAAUCUCUUUUUUUUUUUUUAUUUUUUUUUUUAAAAAUUACAGCUUUUCUGCUACAUAUACAUUUGACAUAUAUGGUACUUUUAUAUAAAGCGGUCACAUAACAAUAAUACAUUUCCAAACAUAAACGAUUUAAUCCCACCCUUCAGCCACUCUCAGCCCAUCCCACCUAUCACCAUAGACCUCAGCUCUUUAAUCCCACCCCUCAGCCAUGCUCAGCCCAUCCCACCUAUCACCAUAGACCUCAGCUCUUUAAUCCCGCCUCUCAGCCCAUCCCACCUAUCACCAUAGACCUCAGCUCUUUAAUCCCACCCCUCAGCCACGCUCAGCCCAUCCCACCUAUCACCAUAGACCUCAGCUCUUUAAUCCCACCCCUCAGCCACUCUCAGCCCAUCCCACCUAUCCCCAUAGACCUCAGCUCUUUAAUCCCACCCCUCAGCCAUGCUCAGCCCAUCCAUCUAUCACCAUAGACCACCCUCUCAGCCCAUCCCACCUAUCACCAUAGACCACCCUCUCAGCCCAUCCCACCUAUCACCAUAGACCACCCUGUAUGGCUUGUUUAAGGGCUAUACUGUAUUUUAAACAUUUUAUUUUCAAUUAGUCGGAAAUGAGAAGUUGUAAUCUGUAUAAAGGCAAUGUUUGAACAAAGGAGGAGCCUUUCUUAAUAAUCGACUGGAGAACCAUUUAAGUAUAACUUAUGUAUGAGUGAAGCUUUUAAUAUUUAAUAAUUUUAGCCCCCCAAACUCCUAUUCAUUAUAUUAACAUGGACGUUUAGUUUCAAAUAAAGUGAAAUAUUUUUUGCUCAUAUGAUUUAAAAAACAAGUCUUCUUGAGUAGGCAGAGCCAUUAGUUGGUAAGUAACUGUGAUAGGAUCAAAGAGUUAAUCAAUGUCAUUUUUCCUUAAAUAGACAAGUACUUACCUCUCCAUGGUUGCAGAAUCUUAAAAAAAAGGGUAACUUUCUAUUGAAAUUAGUUAAGUAUUUUUAUAUUUUUUGAAAUGUGAAUACCAAGUACGUCUACUUCACCAUCCACCCAUUUUAUUGGUAAACACUGUAUUUUAACGAUCCAAUACGUAAUAUGGUACACUUGUUAUAAUUAGGUUUUAGUCCAGAAAAGUAAUCAGAAUCUUGAGACUAUGCAGGGAUCCAGAUUUCUAGUAUUUCAUUGGCCUUAAUUAAUAGAUAUGGAGACAACGGACAGCCUUGUUUUACUCCUCUUAAAUGCUCAAUACUUUAUGAGAAGUAACCAUUAUUUACUAUUUUACAUCUGGGGUUGCUGUACAUAACUUUAACCCCCUCACCCCUCUCUCCUGUAUAAGAGAAUCACAUAAAUUAAAGUAAUCCACGCAUUUAAAUAUAAAUUCUAGGCGUACUUUAAUAAAAUCUGCUGGUAUCUUCGAUGUUUUAUAAUAUUCAAUUGUUUCAAGUAAUUGUUGUAUAUUAUCUCCAAUAUAUAUAUUGUCCAUGGGAGAAAAAAAAAACUGGUCUGAUCAGGAUGAACAAUAUCUGGUAAAACCUUUUUUCUAUGCUAUGCCUUUCACCAGAAUUUUGUCAUUACAGGGCUGGUUAAUAGAACUCCUAUUAUGGUCUGUCUGCCUUUUGUCUUUACCACUCCAGCUCUGGAAUGGGGAGCCCCUGUUCCUGAUGGGAAUGGAGUUCCUUUCCUGAUCCUGUUACAACCAAUCAUUAUCCAGGAGCACACAGGGCCCCCCGGCUCAUGACCUUGAAUACAUAGGCCUGUGUAGAAGGAUCAGUGUGUCGGCCCGCCAUGGCUGAAGGCCUGUGUGUCGGCCCGCCAUGGCUGAAGGAUCAGCGUGUCGGCCCGCCAUGGCUGAAGGAUCAGCGUGUCGGCCCGCCAUGGCUGAAGGCCGGCAGGAGCUUUUAAGGGGGAUUAUACUGUUUUUUGGGAUAUACUGUCCAUGGUGCCCCAAAUGUUGUAUGAAGGUGGUGGAAGGUUGGCUAGAUGAUGGAGCUGGUAUCAGGAGAGCAUUGUGGGUUUUCACCUAUGACCCAGAUGUAAAUGGUAGCUGACUGCAGUGUGUCAUGUGACUGCAGUGUGUCAUGUCAUUUAAGUCAUUUAGUGUGACUGCUGUGUAUCAUAUGACUGCUGUGUGACGUUGUGUUUCUGCGAUACAGACUGAAGAAGGCAGAGGAGUGCUUCCGACAAGCCAAGGAGAAGGCUACCUACAGUGUCAAACCCAAGCAUGCCUCGGGAAUCAAAGCCAAGCUGGGCAUGAAGAUUUAAGAUUGGUGGACGUCCAUUUUUACUGUCGAGCGAGAGAGACGAGGAACAACCAAGUUGGACUGCAUGUACUACUACAGAUGAAUCACUUAGGCUUUAGAACAAGAACCAAAUGACACACUUUUCCCUAUAUAGGACACUACUUUAGACCAGGGUCCAUAAGGCUGUAGUCUAAAGUAGUGCACUACAUAGGGAAUACGGUGCCAUUUGGGACAUAAGAUACUACUUUUUUUUUUUUUUUACUCCAAGCAGCUGUCAGUCUGUCCAUCUCCCGUCCUCCUGCCUGCUCUAUGGGACCGACUCUGCAGGCUUCUGUUAUUAGCUCGUCAGACACACAAACAUCAACAUCCAAUCAGAAAGAAGAGGGAAUCACCAUGAGGUCAGAGGAUGUCAUUAUACCAGAACUAUAUUUAUAGUGUGAUUCCACAGGGACAUACUAAAGGAUGCCUGCUGUAGAGAUACCUGGAGCCACCUUCUCCACAGGGACAUACUAAAGGAUACCUGCUGUAGAGAUACCUGGAGCCACCUUCUCCACAGUCCUACCCCCUACCGUAGAGAUACCUGGAGCCAUCUUCUCCACAGUCCCUACCCCCUACAGUAGAGGUAGCUGGAGCCAUCUUCUCCACAGUCCCUACCCCCUACAGUAGAGGUAGCUGGAGCCAUCUUCUCCACAGUCCCUACCCCCUACAGUAGAGGUAGCUGGAGCCAUCUUCUCCACAGUCCCUACCCCCUACAGUAGAGGUAGC
rnacentral:lncRNA from 1 species